rnacentral:misc_RNA from 1 species
CUUUUGCGUUAAGGAUUGAGCAAUUGUUUGAGCUCUUUUUUGUUUUUUCUACAAAAAAAGCGAGUGUGAAAGCCUGACCAAGC